UUUCUCUUUGUCCUCCCGCUGGGAGAUGGACAGAGACGGAUAGGACCUCGCGACGGUGGAGCGGCCGGAGGAACGCAGAGAAAAUUGGCGCCGCAGUCACGCGGGCCGGGCUGUUCGACGGCGUCGGGUUUAGCGAACGUCCGACUGGGGGCCCUCCAAAUCGGAGCCCCUGCCGGCACGCUACCCUUCCCAGUCCCACCGCCGUGGAUCCACCACGACUCCCCGGCCGGCGGCCGCUGUGACGCCACCGCGCCACGCCGUCCUCUGCGCCGCCGCUCCGCCUCCCUCUCCUCUGCUGCUGCGUCGCCGCCCUGCCCUCACACGUCUGCUGCGCUUCCGCGCUGGUCUCCCAGCUCCGCUCUGUUCAGAAUCCACUGAUCCACAAAAAGAAUUAACAUGCUUCAAUAGCUGGAACUCUCAGCAUGUCCAAGGCCAACUUGAACUCCUGUCAGCAGGAACCUUUGAUUUACUGAAACAAAGGAAUUCAGUGUGUGUAUAGCGACACCACAAUCUGUACAAAGUAGAGCAUGGUCCUCCAGGCAGAAGAGGUAUCCAGAAGAUUCCUGCAGUGAACAUAGAGAAGAGAUUAAGGUUCUUAAGGCCAGCUUGCCAGGAACUGAUGUGAUGCAAACUGAACCCUUUUGCCUGCUCUCCUCAGGAACAAUUAGUUUGAUUUAUCUUGUGCUUGAAAGAUACAUAUCGUUCAAGACAUGUCCACUUAAUUGUUAUUAAUCUUAUUUUCUCUCUGCAGAAUGUUUACUCAGGGAACAAGGGAGUGAACCUACAAAUGCAAAAUAGAGUUUGAUUACCUAUGAUAUAUCACUCAUUGCUGAUUAUGUUUUUUUCCUAUAUCUCUUUGUGUUUGUUGUUGGCUCUGUAUCUAUGCCAAUGAAAAUUAGCUAACCUGGAGUAGGUUUUCAUUUUUUUUUGUUCCGCCUGCUUGCUUAUGGAUCACACUACUUGGUAAGUAUGGCAAAAUGCAUCAACACAUAAUCACUAUGUUUUACAGAUUUCCACCAAAUCCUAUAGUUUGCAUCCAAUUCUUUGUUUUGGUAAUUAGGAUAGAUUUAUCUACAUUGAUUAAGCUUCAUAGAACUCAAACAAUGAUACAAUGAUAUCUCUUUUCAUCGAAAUGAAUACACACUUGUGUUGCUUUAUAAGUUGUGUGUCUUUUGUUCCAUCCUAACUCCGACUGUCGUCUUAGUUCUUUUUAUUCUAUAGCAGGUUGUUAAUGUGCAUGAAGGAUUGAGCCAAUUCCUCCUAUCGAUUAACCACAGUAUUGCUCCUGUACUGGUUAUUCUGAAUUCAUAGCCUUUCCUCGAGGUCUGUAGAAUUUUGUAUGUUCUCAACUAUCCUGCAUAUCGUCUCGAUCUAUAUAUGGUUUCAGGACUAAAAUUUUCAACAGGGCUCCUAGGAGCAAAGUCUAAAACCCAGAUUUCGAUAUUCUUGGCUUUUCAACUUCCUGCAGAUAUAUAACGAGCUAUUAUCCUGCUUGUUCCAUGUCAGCGUGAUCUUCAAGUAUAUUCUAGCCAAGAAGGACACCAUUGGCGGAGCUUAGUGGAGUCAAACCCGGGCCAUGGCCCGCCCAGCCCAGGAGAGAAUCGACGGCAAUCAUGCAGCAGCAAGCAGCACGCGCGGGUAUCCGCUGCAUAGGCACCAUCCCCAAAUCCGCAAUUCCCAGCCAACAACAGAUGCAGGCCGGCAAACGGCCAGAAAACUUGCAGCGGUGGCGAUUCGGAGACCCAUUCCACAAGCUCUUAUCCUCUCGUGUCAUCUACCUUCUCCGCAAAAAAGAAAGUCUACCUUCUUCGAUUUUUCUGCUGCAGCUCAGGCAGCUGAUCCAAUUCUCCCUAGGCGCAUGGCACAAGUGAGAGGGCGAGAGGUAACUCACUUUCCUCAAAUGGCUUCACGGCAGUAUCAUUGCAGCUUGAUUGCAAAUAAAUUAUUUUUUAACUAUUUGGUAGCAUGAAUAAUUUAUCGGCUAUUGUUUACAAAUUGCAAUAUAGGUACCAUAUACAAAGGUAGUCAAAUAAGAAUUGAUUUAGCUUUCGAACAAAUCUUUGUGCUCUGGUUUGGCCGCCCAUGAUUUCUUUUCAUGCUCCGCCACUGCAGGACACUAUAUAUGAAUUUAGGCAUGAUACUUUGUAGACACGUGGUAGACAUGAAUAUGUAUGUUGUCCCAGGAAUCGCGAAAACUAUUAGUUGCACCUGGGAGCAUCAGUGCUCUCACUUUUUC